rnacentral:rRNA from 1 species
GGGCCCGCACAAGCGGUGGAGUAUGUGGUUUAAUUCGAUGCAACGCGAAGAACCUUACCAGGGUUUGACAUCCUGCGAAUCUCUUGGAAACGAGAGAGUGCCUUCGGGAACGCAGUGACAGGUGGUGCAUGGCUGUCGUCAGCUCGUGUCGUGAGAUGUUGGGUUAAGUCCCGCAACGAGCGCAACCCACGUCUUUAGUUGCCAGCAUUUAGUUGGGCACUCUAGAGAGACUGCCGGUGAUAAACCGGAGGAAGGUGUGGAUGACGUCAAGUCAUCAUGCCCCUUACAUCCUGGGCUACACACGUACUACAAUGCUACGGACAAAGGGCAGCAAACUCGCGAGAGCUAG